rnacentral:lncRNA from 1 species
CCACGCGCGCCGGCCGGUGCUGCUGGUGGAGGGAACUGACAUCUAACGCAUGUGGCCCAGGAGAACAAAACCUUCCAUUGCACCCCACGCCGCGACGCUCCCCAGCGAAAGGUGCUUCUGUUGGAAGACCGCACGAAGUAAGGAAGAGCCUCUUUUCCUCUUCCUGGAUAUCCCUCCAGGAAUAUUAGAAGCUCCAGGACUCCUUGAUACGACCAGGAAAAGAUCGCAACCGGGUCUUUAAAAUAUCGAUUCCAGCCAGCUUCUGCGUGCUUGACACAUCUUGGCAGAUGGAGAAGUCAAGGCAAUAGUUCUGACAAGUUUGGAAGUUACACAAAUCGCGUUUGCAAUUGAGGCCGCGGGAAUCCAAAAGGGAAACAAACGAAACCAGAUGAAAAAAAGUGAUUCCAAGUCAAGAUUUCAAAUAGGAAUCUAAGAGACUGGGUCUCGCCAUGUUG